rnacentral:miRNA from 1 species
AGAGGUGGGCAAAUGCUGACAUGGGAGCCUAAGUCAGGUGCCAGGCAGCGGGCAAUCUGGAUCUUAUCUCUGAAACAUUGAUCAUCCUUGACAGCCUUGGGUGUCAGGCU